rnacentral:rRNA from 1 species
GAUUUCUGGUUUUGCGAGUUUGGCCCCCAGCUACGGCUGGCGCGUGUCGUUAUUCGCUUACCAUCCUUCUGGGGAGGGUCUCACAUCACUUUAAUGUGUUUGGGUCACGUAACCAGAUCUUUUACUUUGAAAAAAUUAGAGUGUUUAAAGCAGGCUUGCGCUGUGAAUACAUUAGCAUGGAAUAAUAAUUUAGGACUUUUGCUCCUGUUUUGUUGGUUUAUUGGACGGAAGUAAUGAUUGAUAGGGAUAGUUGGGGGUGCUAGUAUUCAGCGGCCAGAGGUGAAAUUCUUGGAUUCGCUGAAGACUAACUUAUGCGAAAGCAUU